GAUGAACGCUGGCGGGGUGCCUAAUACAUGCAAGUCGAGCGAACACACGAGGUUCUGUCUCCUCGGACGUUAGCAACGGGCGGGUGAGGUAUACGUGGGUGACCUAUCUCUAAGACUGAGUUAGCGUCAGGAUACCUGAUAUAACACCGGAUAUACUAGUGAACGCCAUGGUUCAUAAGUGAUAGACGGAUUUGCUCUCCCUUAUAGAUGGAACCUCGCCGCAUUAGUUAGUUGGUAAGGUAACGGCUUACCAAGGCAACGAUGCGUAGCCGACCUGAGAGGGUGACCAGCCACACUGGGACUGAGACACGGUCCAGACUCCUACGGGAGGCAGCAGUAGGGAAUUUUCCGCAAUGGGCGAAAGCCUGACGGAGCAACGCCGCGUGAGUGAUGAAGGUCUUCGGAUCGUAAAACUCUGUUAGCAGGAAAGAAACAAUGUGUAAGUAACUAUGCACGUAUUGACGGUACCUAAUCAGAAAGCCACGGCUAACUACGUG
rnacentral:rRNA from 1 species